rnacentral:rRNA from 1 species
GUGCCAGCAGCCGCGGUAAUACGUAGGGGUCGAGCGUUGUCCGGACUUACUGGGCGUAAAGCGUGGGUAGGUGGCCACUGAUGUGCCGUGUGAAAGCGCCGCGCUUCUCGCGGCGAGGUCGCGGUAGACACAGUGGCUCGAGGCACGGAGAGGGGCGUAGAAUUCCCGGUGUAGUGGUGAAAUGCGUAGAUAUCGGGAGGAAUACCAGUGGCGCAAGCGGCGCCCUGGCCGUGACCUGACACUGAGCCACGACGGCGUGGGGAGCAAACGGGAUUAGAUACCCCGGUAGUCCACGCAGUAAACGAUGCAUACCCGGUGUUGGAUUGGCGUCAAGCCCGUUCAGUGCCUGAGCUUACGCGAUGAGUAUGCCGCCUGGGGACUACGAGCGCAAGCUUAAA